rnacentral:rRNA from 1 species
AACGUAGGACGCAAGCGUUAUCCGGAGUUACUGGGCGUAAAGCGCGGGCAGGCGGCCCGUUCAGUCUGAGGUGAAAGCGCCCGGCUCAACCGGGCGAGGCCCUUGGAAACUGGCGGGCUGGAGGGCAGUAGAGGUAGGCGGAAUUCCGGGUGGAGUGGUGAAAUGCGUAGAGAUCCGGAGGAACACCAGAGGCGAAGGCGGCCUGACUGGGCGUGCACCUGACGCUGAGCCGCGAAAGCCAGGGGAGCGAACGGG